AGCGAACGCUGGCGGCAGGCUUAACACAUGCAAGUCGAGCGGACCCUUCGGGGUCAGCGGCAGACGGGUGAGUAACACGUGGGAACGUACCCUUUGGUUCGGAAUAACGCUGGGAAACUAGCGCUAAUACCGGAUACGCCCUUUUGGGGAAAGGCUUGCUGCCGAAGGAUCGGCCCGCGUCUGAUUAGCUAGUUGGUGGGGUAAUGGCCUACCAAGGCGACGAUCAGUAGCUGGUCUGAGAGGAUGAUCAGCCACACUGGGACUGAGACACGGCCCAGACUCCUACGGGAGGCAGCAGUGGGGAAUAUUGGACAAUGGGCGCAAGCCUGAUCCAGCCAUGCCGCGUGAGUGAUGAAGGCCUUAGGGUUGUAAAGCUCUUUUGUCCGGGACGAUAAUGACGGUACCGGAAGAAUAAGCCCCGGCUAACUUCGUG
rnacentral:rRNA from 1 species